rnacentral:rRNA from 1 species
UAUUUAAUUGUCAGAGGUGAAAUUCUUGGAGCUAUAAAAGACAACUUACACGAAAGCAUUUCCAAGGAUGUUUUCAUUAAUCAAGAACGAAAGUUAGGGGAUUGAAGCCGAUCAGAUACCGUCGUAGUCUUAACCAUACAGUACGCCGACUAGGGCUCAGCCAAGGAUCUUUUGACUAGUUUGGCACCUUACGAGAAAUCAAAGUUUUUGGGUUCCGGGGGGAGUAUGGUCGCAAGGCUGAAACUUAAAGGAAUCGACAGAAGGGCACCACCAGGAGUGGAGCCUGGGGCUUAAUUUGACUCAACACGGGGAAACUCACCAGGUCCAGACAUAAUAAGGAUUGACAGAUUGAGAGCUCUUUCUUGAUUCUAUGGGUGGUGGUGCAUGGCCGUUCUUAGUUGGUGGAGUGAUUUGUUCAGGAAUUCUCUCAAGGAUCGAGACCUAAUCCUGCUAAAUAGUUAGGACACAGUUUGGGGGUCGUUAACUUCUUAGAGGGACUAUAGGGCAUUAGUCAAUGGAAGUUUGAGGCAAUAACAGGUCCAUGAUGUCCUUAGAGGUUUUGGGCCGCACCAGAAAAGCGCCGAUCAACUCAACGAGUAUUCAACCUUGGCCGGAAGGUCCAGAAGUCGGGAGAAAUAGCAUGUAUUAGGUGAUGAAUCAUCGCAAUUAUUGGAAGUAAUAAGGGAUUUUCAAGUAAGCGAGAGUCAUCAGAUUGAGCCGUUUGCGUGCCUCGCCCUACAACACACCGC